rnacentral:misc_RNA from 1 species
AUUAAGGUUUCCUAUGCCUCGGUUCCAGACCUUUUUUUAUACUGUGCUCGUUGUGUUCGCCACUAAGACUUUUACUUUCUCUUUUUUUUAAAUCGGUUUGGCUAUCGAUCAGACUACACCCGCCCGUCUCUCACCUUAGAGGAUAGUUAGACUGUGUAAUAAUUAUCAACAUGGAAGUUUGUCAACGACCCCGUACUACAGAGUCAAUAUACGCACCGACCCCAGAUCUUGAGCCCAUUAUUGAAAGAAUGUCCAAAUCUCGCGAUGGCGAGAGGAUGACCUUUUGGUCUCGAUACGACCCUAUCCGACACGUACAGGGGAACACAGACCACUGGGCCAAGAACAGACAACAGUCAGGUAAUAUACAUUGAAUAUUCGGAGCGUGAGUAUGAAAGCAUAAUAAUUCAGUAGAUAAGACAUCGCCCUGCACUUUGCAUAGUAAGCAGCGAUAAAAAGCACGUUGCAACGAUUCAUCUUCUUCACGUAUACAUGGUUUAUUUCUUAUCAAUAAUGUAACGAAGUCAAGUCUCUUUAUUUCAUCCUGGCACAGUUAUUUCUUCUUUGCAAUCAGCGUAUUAGUACAAGUGCAGAGCAUUCGUUGAUUAGACUGCUAAUUGUGUUGUCAUUUAUAACUUGGUGGUGGAACAAAUUGAAUAGCUUUCUAGCAUAUCAAGUAAAGUUUUGAUUCGCGUAGCAUGAAUUAGUCGCUUUCAGGUAUAAAUCACUUGCUAUAACAUCGAUCAAUUAAGAUAUGAAAUAUUUAUCAUAUGUUAAUAAAAAAAAAAAAUUCUUUUAAAAGUUUAAUGAUACAUCAGUUAUCUUUUCCCUCUUUUAAUUGGACGCUUUCAGUAGAGUUUCAUGCUUUAGUUAGGUAGCUAUUGUUGAAUCAUUUCCAUAAAGAAACCAAUCCUGGAUCCCUGGUUCUGGCUAUACCCGUAUAUACAUGCUGCUCACUGGUUGAACUAAUUCACGUGUGUACAUAAUGACUUUAAUUGUAUAUAUUUGUGAUAAAUGUGUAAUCAGGAAAUGUUAACGGGUGAAGGUUAUAUAUGCGCUACACAAUGGACCGUGCUCAUGAUUUUGCUGUUCUGCUAUUAACAUCUUAGUCCGGAUUUCGUUGUAAGUUUUAAAAUCAAUUUGAUACGUUAGAUAUAUCAAAUUAUCCUCCUUUAUCCCUAAUAAUAGUAUAUUAUUGUUUUUCUUUUCCAUAUACAGAACGAUGCUGCUUUUAUUGUGUAAAAAACUGGUUCUGAUUAAUUCGAUGUGCAUCUAACCCCAAAAAAGCUUAUUGCUAGAGAGUGUUCUGUUUUUUUUUUAAACUUGCAGCAUCCGGACUUUGGAGCAGUAAAAUCAUGGCACAUUUCAUGUUUUGCAGCGCAACGCGCUCAACAAAGGGCCAGGGUUGUAAGUUUCUCACAGGGUAGAAUGAUUCCUUAUAAAGAGAAAACUUUUGAUGAAUUGGUUGUAGAUGGUCUACGUGGCUCAAUGCCUGGCGCCUACUCCAGCGGCCGUCCCAAGAGCACUUAUAACAAAUCCCAUUAUAGAAAUGUGUUCUCUGAGCGGGCUAAAGAUGGCUUCCGGUACUGGCUGAUAGAACGCCCUAAGCCCACCAAUUUUGGAAAAUACAGCCUUGGUGCCACACAUUCAGUCAUAGGAUUAUGUAAUGCUCCUCGAACUUAACUUAUCAAUUAUUUAUUAUAUAAUAUUUAUGAAUAUUGAAAUAUUUGUUUACUUGUCAACGCACAGAUGUGUGUUUAUUUAUUUGAGUUUUUGUAAGAAAGCGAAUGUUCAAGCAUUUUUAGUUUUCAAAUUGUGGUAAAGUAUAAACAGAAUGCAACUCGUUAAUAUUAGAUGUCUUCGCACAACCUGUCUUAUUGUCUUAGUCUGCGCAUGCGCAAAACAAGCCCUUUUGCGGCAGCUUGUCCUAAAUUUUAUAAAAGAUCAAACAAAAUAAAUUUGCUAUGACUGCUUUGGAUAAAACAAAACGUCAGUGAUAAUUUUAUCGUUGUAACAAUGAAAUGUUUCUGAGAGAUAUAUGUUGAAAUUUCUUAGAAAAUGACAUUCUUACCACCGCAGUAUUAGUUUGUAUAUAUGUAUUUAUCAGUUUGCUUUUACAUUAGUUUGUAAAUCGUUGUAUUUAGAAAAUGUCUUAAAUGUUAGGUAAAACACUUUUUCAUUUGUACAUGUACAAUAUUCAUGAAAAUAAUGCAAUUUCCUAAUAAAAAGGAAUGUUACCAUAGC